rnacentral:tRNA from 1 species
UGUUAUAUAGUUUAAUUAAAAAUUAUGAAUUGCAAAUUCAUGAAUGAAUAUACUUCUAUAACUU